UUGAGUGUAAGUGCACAAGGGAGCUUGACUGCGAGACAGACAUGUCGGGCAGGUGCGGAAAGCAGGAACUAGUGAUCCGGCACCUCAUUGUGGAAUGGGUGUCGCUCAACGGAUAAAAGGUACCCCGGGGAUAACAGGCUGAUCUUGCCCAAGAGCUCAUAUCGACGGCAUGGUUUGGCACCUCGAUGUCGGCUCGUCGCAUCCUGGGGCUGGAGUUGGUCCCAAGGGUUAGGCUGUUCGCCUAUUAAAGCGGUACGCGAGCUGGGUUUAGAACGUCGUGAGACAGUUCGGUCCCUAUCCGCUGCGCGCGUUGGAUAUUUGAGAAGUCCUGUCCCUAGUACGAGAGGACCGGGAUGGACUGACCUCUGGUGUGCCAGUUGUUCUGCCAAGGGCAUGGCUGGUUGGCUACGUCGGGAAGGGAUAACCGCUGAAAGCAUCUAAGCGGGAAGCCUGCUUCGAGAUGAGAUAUCCUUGCACCCUUGAGGUGUGUGAGGCCCCCAGUAGAUGACUGGGUUGAUAGGCCAGAUGUGGAAGCACAGCAAUGUGUGGAGCUGACUGGUACUAAUGGCCGAUGACUUACAACA
rnacentral:rRNA from 1 species